UAGGGAAUCUUCCGCAAUGGACGCAAGUCUGACCGAGCAACGCCGCGUGAGUGAAGAAGGUUUUCGGAUCGUAAAGCUCUGUUGUUAAGGAAGAACGAGUGUGAGAAUGGAAAGUUCAUACUGUGAAGGUACUUAACCAGAAAGGGACGGCUAACUACGUGCCAGCAGCCGCGGUAAUACGUAGGUCCCGAGCGUUGUCCGGAUUUAUUGGGCGUAAAGCGAGCGCAGGCGGUUAGAUAAGUCUGAAGUGAAAGGCAGUGGCUCAACCAUUGUAGGCUUUGGAAACUGUUUAACUUGAGUGCAGAAGGGGAGAGUGGAAUUCCAUGUGUAGCGGUGAAAUGCGUAGAUAUAUGGAGGAACACCGGUGGCGAAAGCGGCUCUCUGGUCUGUAACUGACGCUGAGGCUCGAAAGCGUGGGGAGCGAACAGG
rnacentral:rRNA from 1 species